rnacentral:rRNA from 1 species
GAGUGCAGAAGAGGAGAGUGGAAUUCCACGUGUAGCGGUGAAAUGCGUAGAGAUGUGGAGGAACACCAGUGGCGAAGGCGACUCUCUGGUCUGUAACUGACGCUGAGGCGCGAAAGCGUGGGGAGCGAACAGGAUUAGAUACCCUGGUAGUCCACGCCGUAAACGAUGAGUGCUAAGUGUUAGAGGGUUUCCGCCCUUUAGUGCUGCAGCUAACGCAUUAAGCACUCCGCCUGGGGAGUACGGUCGCAAGACUGAAACUCAAAGGAAUUGACGGGGGCCCGCACAAGCGGUGGAGCAUGUGGUUUAAUUCGAAGCAACGCGAAGAACCUUACCAGGUCUUGACAUCCUUUGCCACUUCUAGAGAUAGAAGGUUCCCCUUCGGGGGACAAAGUGACAGGUGGUGCAUGGUUGUCGUCAGCUCGUGUCGUGAGAUGUUGGGUUAAGUCCCGCAACGAGCGCAACCCUUGAUCUUAAUUGCCAGCAUUCAGUUGGGCACUCUAAGGUGACUGCCGGUGACAAACCGGAGGAAGGUGGGGAUGACGUCAAAUCAUCAUGCCCCUUAUGACCUGGGCUACACACGUGCUACAAUGGAUGGUACAAAGGGCUGCGAGACCGCGAGGUUUAGCCAAUCCCAUAAAACCAUUCUCAGCUCGGAUUGCAGGCUGCAACUCGCCUGCAUGAAGCUGGAAUCGCUAGUAAUCGCGGAUCAGCAUGCCGCGGUGAAUAAGUUCCCGGGCCUUGUACACACCGCCCGUAAGGGCGA